GUCUACAACCAUGCUACACUGAACAAGCCUGAUCUCAUCUGAUUUUGGAAACUAAGCAGAGUCGGGCCUGAUUAGUACUUGGAUGGGAGACCACCUAGGAAGACCAGGUGUUGUAGGCA
rnacentral:rRNA from 1 species